GCCCCGGUGAUGAAAUUGGUAGACAUACGGGAUUUAAAAUCCCGGGACCACUAGGUCGUGCGGGUUCAAGUCCCGCCUGGGGCACCA
rnacentral:tRNA from 2 species